GAUGAACGCUGGCGGCGUGCCUAAUACAUGCAAGUCGAGCGAACGGACGAGAAGCUUGCUUCUCUGAUGUUAGCGGCGGACGGGUGAGUAACACGUGGAUAACCUACCUAUAAGACUGGGAUAACUUCGGGAAACCGGAGCUAAUACCGGAUAAUAUUUUGAACCGCAUGGUUCAAUAGUGAAAGACGGUCUUGCUGUCACUUAUAGAUGGAUCCGCGCUGCAUUAGCUAGUUGGUAAGGUAACGGCUUACCAAGGCAACGAUGCGUAGCCGACAUGAGAGGGGGAUCGGCCAAACUGGAACAGAGACACGGUAAAGAGGACUAAGGGAGGCAGCAGUAGGGAAUCUUCCGAAAUGGGCGAAAGCAUGACGGAGCAAAGCCGAGUGAGUGAUGAAGGUCUUCGGAUCGUAAAACUCUGUUAUUAGGGAAGAACAAAUGUGUAAGUAACUGUGCACAUAUUGACGGUACCUAAUCAGAAAGCCACGGCUAACUACGUG
rnacentral:rRNA from 1 species